UUUAAUUAUAUUUCACACACAUGUGUAUAUUUAUUUGUAAUAUUCUUUUAUAUUUUAUUAAUUUUUAGAAUUAUAUAGGUAAUUAAACAGAAAUGGGUUUGUUUUAUUUGAUUUAAAAGCAAUUAUUAUUUAAUGUACCUUUUGUAUCAGGGUGUUAGGAAUAAUUUAAUGUAACUUAAUAUUUUCCCGAAGUGAAUUGAUCUUAUUUUAACUGAAUUUUUAUGUUUAAUUAUAAUAUUCUAAGUUUAAUAAGAUGUUAGAAAUAAUUCGUAAUUUUGUAUAUCUGGUUUCUUUUUAAUCAAUUAAAUUGAUAAAUCUGGUUAAUUUUUAUCUAAUAAUUUAUUAUACACAGGUUUUGUAUUUUUGUAGGGAUAAGCUUACUUGAAUUGAAUUUAUCUAUAAUGUUAGUUAUAAAUAUUUAUAUUAAUUUAAACUAAGAGAAGUCUUAUUUAAUGUUUUAUGUAUAUUUAACUUUUAUUGAAUUUUUUAAACUUAUUACUGUAAGAGAGAAAUAAAAAUUUUAAUAUUUUAGUAUUAAAUACAAUCUAUCAAUUAGUAAUUUGCUUAAUUAAAGAUAAGGAACUAGGCAAUAAGAAGUUCCACCUGUUUAAUAAAAACAUGUCUUUUUGGUUUUAAUUUAAAGUCUAACCUGCUCAGUGCUAAUGUUUAGUAAAUAGCUGCGGUUUAUACUGCACUAAGGUAGCGUAAUCAUUAGUUCCUUAAUUGGGAUCCAGAAUGAAUGGUUGGAUGAGAUCUUAACUGUCUCAUUUUUAAUAAAUAAAAUUGAACUUUGAGUUAAAAUGCUCAGAUAUUUAGGAGGGACGAGAAGACCCUGUAGAUCUUUAAGAUUUUAAUUUGUUUAUUAAACAUUUUAUUUCUUUUACCUGGGACGGGUCCAUUUAAUUAAACCUUGGUUAAAUAUAAUUUUAUCAUUAGAAAAUAUAAAGAUCCUUUAGAAGAUAAAAAGAAAAAGUUACCUCAGGGAUAACAGCACAAUUUCUUUUUUCUAGAUCAUAUAGAUGAAGGAGAUUGUGACCUCGAUGUUGAAUUAAAGUGUUAUUUGGAAGCAAAAUGUCAAAUUGUUAGUCUGCUCGACUAUUAAAACUUUACAUGAUUUGAGUUUAGAUCGACGUGAGUCAGGUCGGAUUCUAUCUUCCUUAUAAUUAAGAUUUUCUUGUACGAAAGGACUUAUAAAUCUGACUUUGAAUUUAGUUUUAU
rnacentral:rRNA from 1 species